AGCAGCAAAGGCGGCUCCUCGCGCGGACUAGUUGCUUGUGGAGACUCCAGCUGGCGCCGCCGCCGCCACAGCCAGCAUCGGGGCGGACCAUGUUCCGAGGAAGCUGGGGACAGCCAAGCAGCCGCGUGGGCUCCGCCACCCCAGGGAGCUGGAACUGGUAACGCGCCCCAAGCUGCUGCUGGGGGAGGCCCCUCCCCAGCCCCCCAGAGACGAAGCCACGCCGGGGGGCAGCAGCAACCUCAGCACCAGCUUCACCGCCAGCUCGGCGAGGAGCACCAACAACAACAGCGCCAGCAGCAGCAGCAGCAGCACCUCGGGGUCCAGCAGCACCAUGGAUCUCUCCUUUAUGGCCGCGCAGGUAAAUGGCGAGAGGCAGCCUCCAGACCCCACCCCGUCGAGGGUCCGCUGAGCCUUCGAACCGCCCCUCUCCGCGCCCCCGAAUAUUGGGAGGGGGUGGUUUGCAACAGAUGCGUGGGUCAUCCAUCUCUGACAUCCGUAGCCGUCGUGAUGAAUGAAAGGGGAUUUUGCGUAAAGCGCUUAGGAUUCCAGCGGAACCGCUUUGAGGUUCUGGGCGACUAAGCGGGAUACAAGUCCCGUCGAAUGAAUACAGUGAAAUGAAUGGAGGAGGCUUUGGAUAGAGGGGCGACCUCGAAGCCGCCCCUCACUAGGAAAGGGUGUCGCGGUUGCACAGGUUUCUGGGUGGAUGCUUUGAGAUGCACUGACCCCCCCCUUCCUUUUCUAUUUUUAGGCGAGGAACAGGAGGAGGGGAGUGGGGAAGCCUCUCUCUCUCCCUCUCCCUCUCGCCCUUGUUACUUUCCAAUAACAAGAGGUUUUAGGGCUUAGUGACAUAACCCCGAGAAGAACUUGGGGAUGGAGGGAUAAAGAGGUUUGUGCAAGAUUUUUGUUUUCCCCUUUAUUUUGAAUGCAACAAGCCGAUUUCCCCCUGAAGGAGAUGAAGGGCUGCGUCUGCCUUGCAGCAGCAAAUAAUAGAAUUCUCCAACUGCACUGAUUUCUUUCAUUUGCUUAAGACGUUUCUGUCCCACUUAAUAAUUUGCAUUUCUAAUAAUAAUAAUGUAUUACCCGUCCGUCACCCUAAGGUCCCAGGGUGUAUGCAAAAUUCAGUAUGCUUGGAAACCUGUUCUGUGGGAUAAUUAGAUUUGGUGGUGUGUAGCAUGAGGAAGUACACUUCCCUGUGGGGAUAGAGCAGAUGGGUAGGAAUAAUUUUCAACCCCCCCCCAAUACUUCCAUGUAUAUAGAAUGUAACAGCACUAUCCUCUAUGUUUACUCAGAGUAAGCCCCUCUAAGUUCAAUGGGAUUUACUCCCCAUUAUAUACAUAUAAGACUGGAGCUUUACCUGUGCUUGUCUACUGAGAAAUAAGCCCCACUGUGCUGCUCUGUUCCUGAUCCAUCCAUCUUUCCAUCCUCUGUGUCUUGACCUACCCAUCCAGCACAGCCAUGCUGACUAUGGCUGAUGGGAUUUGUAGUCCAAAACAUCUGGGAAGUAUCAGGUUAGCAAAGUUCGAUCUACUGUUAGAUUUCUGGCUUGCAGUAGAUAACCAAGGAUUUCCAACACAUGGUUGUUUAACAAUAGCAGCAGCAGCAGCAACAAAAAAAAACAACAACAAUCACACACACACACACGAGUUAGCUGCUGAUAUGAGUGGGGGACAAGGACUUAAGGGGAAAUGACGAGUGCAGUUUUAUAUGCGAAUACUGAGAACUGAGUUCCUAGACAUGCAUACCACAGGUGCUCUGUUCCUUAAUUCUAAGGGUGUAUCCACCCCUUUCCUAAACCACUAUUUUCACAGAAUCAUAGAUAUGUAUUCUGGACUGGACUGGACUAGGCUCCAGCUGGCAGACUUCAGUAUUCUAGGGUAAAAAAACAGUCGAUUCUUCAAGCUUGAUGUCUGCCCACCCCUGCCUUAUGGCAAAAGGUUUAGUAGAGCCUCAAUGAAGGAUUAAAGUUUAAUUUCCUAUAUGGAAGAGUUGAAAGGAGGAAGCUCCUGCUGAUUCGUAUCUCCCCAGCUGGUUUCUUGACUGACCUCAUAUAGUGUCAGUGAAGUCGGUCAUAGGAUAAUCAGUGUUAGGAACUGAGAUAUAAAAGCUAGGAGCUAAAUGGCACCUUAAACCUAGGUUAUGGGCACAACAACGGAAUGUCUCGGCACACUUUUUUAAUAACAAGAAUACAAAGCUGAAAAUGAAUGAAAUGCAGCUAAAAUAUUAUGUUCAUUUUUCACAUGGUUUAGUCCUUCCCCUGCCCACCCCACUAAUAUUCUUAAGAGGGUCUCUUCUCCAGUCUUCAGAGAGUAGCUGGACGUGGGGAGGCAGAAAAAGGUCCUCUUUUCCUUCCACUCUGCAGUUUUAAAUCUGAAAUCUUAGGCACAGAGCUCAGAAACCGCUCGCGCUAAUGAAAUUCCUUGUCGCAAAAUGCUCCCAGAACACUGAGGACAAUAGAUCUGGUGUAAUUCUACUGUUCUCUUGUAAAAAAAGAAAGAAAGAAGAAAAGCAAUCUUUGGGCAUGGCCAACCAAGAAAUCCUCCUGCACAGUCCUAGUGAAAUGAACAAGAGGUGCAUGAGAACAUGGGUGCCUUUUUGCGUGGUUCCCAUAAAUUGAAAUGGACUGUGUGUAGGUGUAUAUAUUAGACUGCUCAUUCUUUGGAAAGGUGGGUUGUGGUGGUGGAACCCCACUCACCAAAGUAGAUUUAAUCAAAUUUCCCACCUCCUGGAUAAGUAGGUACCCAGAGUAUGUUUUGAAAAGUUUUCUGUCUCUGCCAUAAGGGCAGCUGAAGUUAGAAAUCUCAGUAAUAAACAGCACCUCCAGUUGUUACUGGCACACUUUCUCUCCCUUUUUCUCAAACAUGGCAUCUUAACAGUAGCUUUAGGAGCACAGCCAAUAUAUUCUUGCCUGCUGGUUACUAUCUAGCUGUCUGGCCCAUUCAUACUUACUGCAAAGCUUUGAGCUUAUGUCAGGUGAUUUCACGUUAAAUUGAAUUAGGCUGCAUUAAGGAGAGAUGAAAUAUUUGUCUGCUGGUAAUUCUGACAGGCUUCCCCGCCCCCGACAUAAAUGCCUGCCUCUUCUCUUAGGAAGGGAUGAAGACCAGUUGCGAAAUGGCUCUCCAGUUACUCAGUUACAUUUUGCAUGAUGUAUUUUGGUUUUAGGGAGAGCCAAAAGAAUGUGGUUGUUUUACACCAUAGCUCAGUAGCUUUGCAUUCAGAAGGUCCCAAGUUCUGCCCUUGGCAUUUGUAGGUAGGGCUGAGAGAGAACCUUGCCUAAAACCUGACUUAGUAAAGUGGUACCUCGGGUUACAGACACUUCAGGUUACAGACGCUUCAGGUUACAGACUCUGCUAACCCAGAAAUAGUACCUCGGGUUAAGAACUUUGCUUCAGGAUGAGAACAGAAAUUGUGCGGUGGCAGCAGCAGGAGGCCCCAUUAGGUAAAGUGGUACCUCAGGUUAAGAACAGUUUCAGGUUAAGAACGGACCUCCAGAACGAAUUAAGUUCUUAACCUGAGGUACCACUGUAUAUAAGACAUCUUAGAAUCGCAGAAUUGUAGAGUUGGAAGGGACCACGAAGAUCAUCUAAUCCAACCUCCUACAGUGCAAGAAUAAUAAUUUUAUUAUUUUUAUACUGCCCAUCUGACUGGUUUUGCCCCAGCCACUCUGGGUGGCUACCAACAAAAGCAUAAUAAAACAUCAACUAUUAAAAACUUCCCUAUACAGGGCUGCCUUCAGAUGUCUUCUAAAAGUCAGAUAGUUGUUUAUUUCCUUGACAUCUGAUGGAAGGGCAUUCCACAGCGUGGGCGCCACUGCCAAGAAGGCCCGCUGCCUGGUUUCCUGGAACCUCACUUCUCACAUUGAGGAAACCAGUUUCUAUGUAUCUUACAUUGUAUUUAGUUUAUGUAUUGGAUUGCAUGUUUAUCAUACCCUCUCUUUGUUCUUCAUGUGCACUGCUCUGAUACAAACAUGAAAUGGUUUCCUACUAUAAGAACUGCUUGCAAUAUUUAUGAAAAUGUGUGGAAUUUUUGCCCGACAGGUGGCCUAUAUUUAUGAUUUUAAAAAAUCGGUUUAAAAAAAAUCUAUAGAGGGAAGGAUGCAAACUGCAACGUUUGGGGGCAAGAAUGAACUUCCCUCAGUCCUGAGUUGCUUGCAUUUUGCAGAGCAAGAUUCAAACCUUGCUUCCCAUUCACAAUUCACAAGCCUACUGAAUUGAUGUAACUGAAGCAGAGGUCAAUAUAGCUUGCUCUCAUAAGGUCUACCAUCUCCUUGAAUUGCUUUUGCAGGAACACAGGUGGGACCUGCAACAAAAGGUUGCAGCGUGAAGUGUUCCUCCUAUAGAUUUCUCAAUUCCAUUACAACCCCUGUCCUGGUAUACACAUAACACUAAGCCAUAGUUUGGUUAACAAACUUUGAGUUAACCAUGAAUUUCCCCACAGUUGAUCAAACAAACCAUGGCAUGCUUCUCUAAAGUUUAGUUUGUUUCCCAGCUAUUCUUGUCUUGUGCCUUUGUUGCUUGGUGAGAGAAUGGGAAGGGGAGCCACUGGAAUAAUUUCCUAUUUCCAGGGAGCUGUUUUGCUUCCAUAAUCAUAGAACCAUAGAGUUGUAGUGUUGGAAGUGUGGGAAUGUGGAGGAAGGUAGGAGAGGAUAUAUUGAUUAAAUAUUAUCCUUCCUCACUCGCGCUAGUGAGCAAGCAGCAGAGAACAUUCCCUUGCAGAUUGCUGGAAGCAAUUUGAUGGAUUCAUUACAAUCAUUUAAAUUAAGCAAUCCAGUCUGGAUUGUUCCUGGUAAGUUUCCCCUUUAUUUCCCUCUUAAAAUGAUAAUAACACGACAGUCUUCUUUAAAAGUAAGAGUAAAGUUUACUUACCUUCAGUUCACAGCAGUAAUUUGAAGUCAGGCUUUAUCUUGUGGUUACUGUUACAUUGUAGAGAAAAGAAGUCUGAGCUAGGCCUUAUGGCUUCCAUCCUCUGUAAGGAUGAGCCAUGUGCUGGCUAAGAACCAGGAAAGGAGUCCGAAAGGAGAAAAUGGAAGAAUGGAAGAUGGCUGCAUGGCUUGUCCUUUUACAGGGUCUGCUAGGGUCACGCCCAUCUACCUGGUCACACACAGAGGGAGGAGGCUCCAGAACAGGUAUGUUAGGAAGUCCUCCCUGUCUGGAACUACAUUCCCCUGUGUGUCCACUCCAGGCAACAGGAAAAUGUUGUCUUUGACUGCUUCAGUGAAGAUACAUCCCACAGGAAGAGACCACAAGGGUCAUCUAGUCCAAGUCCCUACAAUGCAGGAAUCUUUUUGCCCAGCGUGGGGCUCAAACACAAGAUCCUGAGAUUAGGAGUCUCAUGCUCUGCUGACUGAGCUAUCCCUUCAGCAUUCCCUUACUCUAGGCCAAGAGUUUUCCCACUUCAUGCCUUUGAGUGUCUCUUUCUACAGGAACUUGUGUGUUGCAGAGAGCCAGGGUGGUAUAGUGGUUAGAGUGUCAGACUAGGAUCUGGGAGACCAGGGUUCCAAUCCCCACUCGGCCGUGAAGCUCACUGGGUGACCUUGGGCCAGUGACUCUUGCUUUGCCUAGCCUACUUCACAGGAUUGUUGUGAGGAUAAAAAUGGAAGGGGGAAGAAAUAUGGACACCACCUGGAGUUCUUUCGAGAAAAGGUGGGAUAUAAAUGUAAUGGUAAAUUUAAAAAAAAGAAAAGAACACAUUUUCAGUAGGCAUGGAAUGGUGGCUAGGUGUAUUGAGCCUUAUUGUUGACUCUCGGGAGCUAGGAACGAUCAUUUCUGAACGAGCUUUGCAAGGGAAAGUUGGUAGCUGGAGGCAAUUUAAGCUCUCUAUCUUUCUCUGUCUUUUUCUGAGGCACAGCAUCUGAAGAUCUGUGCUCUUCAAAUGUUACUGAAGGGGGAACAAGGCAGAAUUACUGAGCUCCUGUUAGUGGAGCUCAUGCUGAUUGCAUGGUCCUUUUGUGUUUCUGGAUCUUAGAAACAGAGGAGGAGCAAACAAUGAAUCCCGUCUGUUAUCUGCUUGCACAUGUAGGCCUUCCAGGUUUUGCUCGUGGCCUGUGUAUAAGUAUCCAUGACAGUAAUGAAUGUACCAUUCCCGUUUGGCAAUGUAUUCUUUUCUGGAACAAAUCCAAGGAAACGAGCUUUAAAAAGAGAAAGAGGUUAUAUUUUUUCCAGGGGUUGGAGGAAAGAGAACCUGGUGGAGACGCCACAUGUUAAAAAUGCAUGAAUACCUGCCUAGAUGUGGCACACAGGCAUCGACUGCUCAGAGAUGAAAAACACACAGCUUCUUUGAUGCUUGGCAACAAACCUUCAUAGUGUGAGUAUUUGGGUUUCUCUCAUGGGAAGCUGUUGACCUGGUUCCUAAGAUAAGUUAAGGAGGUUCAUGGAAGGUACCUUAAGAUGUAGAUUUGAAUUUGUGUAAUGCAGGUUAUGUCAGUACAGUGGUACCUCAGGUGAAGUACUUAAUUUGUUCCGGAGGUCCGUUAUUAACCUGAAACUGUUCUUAACCUGAAGCACGAUUUUAGCUAAUGGGGCCUCCCGCUGCCGCUGCACCGCCGGAGCACGAUUUCUGUUCUCAUCCUGAAGCAAAGUUCUUAACCCAAGGUACUAUUUCUGGGUUAGCGGAGUCUGUAACCUGAAGCGUCUGUAACCUGAAGCGUAUGUAAGCCAAGGUACCACUGUAUAUGGCUAACAGGAAACAGUAAGUAAUUGGUCCCGUCGCUUGUCUCUGGGGUGCCAUUUUGCACCGGUUUCACCUGCCUCCCAAAGCCCCAAUUUUGCACUUGGUUUCAUUUGGGGGACCUCAGGCUUCCGAUGGGUAGGGUGGAAGCAAAAUCAAUUCAGCAAACCUGAUUUGUCAGUGCCAUUCCAAUGGGCUUCGCCAGAUGCCUAUCCACAUAGCUUGCUCUGUGUUAGAAACGAUGGUCUUUGGAACAUACUGCAUGACUAUGUUGUUGUUUCGUGCAAGAGAUGACCGGACAGUCACCCCCACUAAAUUGUUUUGGUUCUUUAAUUCUUAACAGGAAUGUGUCUGUGGCUUUCAGUUGCAUUAAUUCUCUCCUAUAUGUACCGUAUUUUCCCAUGUAUAAGACUAUAUUUUUUCCUAAAUUUUUAAAGUUUAAAAUAAGGGGUCGUUUUAUAAAUGGAUAGUGCAUGGUGCGUUUUCUUAAUUUUGGGUUAAAAAAAUAGGGGUCGUCUUAUACAUGGGGGUGUCUUAUACACAGAAAAAUACAGUAGCCUGGUGGGGAGGGGAGAGGGGUGCAGCUACAGUCAUGCAUGCUGGCCCCUUGGAAGGUGGGGUGGAAUCUAGAAAUAACUGUAGUGCAAUGUCUUCUAUUAGGACCAACUAAAUAUCACAAGGCAGUGAGAAAUCGUUUGCCACCUGCUGCAUAUGCCUACCUGAACCUCAAGGCUUGGGGCUGCAAGAAGAACUGAAAAUAUGAUUCUUCUUAGAAUCCAAGCUGUGAUCAAGGCUGCAUGGCUCGGGGUAGCUGGUAGGGGUGGCAGAUCUGGCCUUUGUGGAGCACAGCCAGUGGGCAGAUGUGGGUAGAUGUGGGCACAAAGCAGAGGAGGAGGCAAUAAACAUCCACAUCCCCUUGAGAAAACACCCUGGGAGAUUUUCUGGGAAUGUUUUUCCCACAUUGGUGGUGACAGACGAGUAGUUUGAUCCAAAUUGCAUUAAAUGGUGAACCUACGUAAUUCGCUCUUUCCGAAACAAUGCACAAACCGAAACAGUCCUCCUUUGAAAUUUGCACUUCUCUGAAUUUUGCCACACAUUUCUCCAGCCAAGUAAUGUGCACAAAAAUGCAGAUACUAGGGUAAAGUGUGGGUGAAGGUGUAUAUAUUAGUGAAAAUAACAUGCAGAAAUGCAGGAUAUUAAGGGAAAGCGUAUUGCAAAAAGAAAAAGUGCAUGUUAGGCAAAAUUGCAUGUGUAUAUCAGGAGAAAAUUGCACUAAAAUGCUGAUGAAUUCUCAUUAAAACUCUCAUUAAAACUUUUUUAAAAAAAUGCAAAGUGAGGUGGAGAUGUGGAGAACUGGAUUUAAAAAUUGACAGAUUUGCCAAUCCUUGGUCCAGAAUCUAUAAAACUACCUAAUUGCACCACUGUUGGACAGCACAGAUUUCUAUAACAUAGCAGAAGACUCCAUUCUGGCUGUCAUACAGACAUUUUGAGGUGGGAAGCCUCUGCAUAGCCCUAACUUCCCCAGUGGGGCUUUAGAAUGCUUUGGCUGAAUCAUGCCUGUAGGGGCUCCCAUAAGACCAUUGUGUCCAGUAUCUAAAAUUGCCUAAUUGCUCCAUUGGACAUUGGCCUGCUUGCUUAAACAUCAUUAUCUAUGGCAGUGCAAGCAGGCAGUGUUAUGUCUUCUUAAUGGACCCCUGCCCUGUCCACCCUGGAUAGUGCUGUAUUAACUCUUUGGCAGGGAAGUCUGUGCCAUUUUGCAGUCUGCCAAAUUGAAAAAGCAUGCACACAUCAUUCACAUCCCCUGAUGUAACUGAAGGGGUGACCAUCAUUUUGUAGUCUCGACCCCAUUGCAAAGAGCUAAACUUUCUAAACAAGCAUGCCUACUGUGGCAUGCUAAGGUUUCUUUUCUCUAUAUCCAGCAGGGUUCAGUUCUUGACAAUUGAUUAGUUUCAACGAUUGGGUUAAAGGGGGGGGGGGGAAUCUCAUCCCAAUCAUAAUUUUGCAAGCCAAGCAUUUGGUCUAAAGUGGGAAUAUUAUUCUACCUGGCUCUUGUUAGGAUGUCAUGUGUAACGGUCUCAUUUGACAACCCCCAUUUAGAUCCUUGAAGUGAAAUGCGGCGAUGUGGAAAAUUAGAACAAUGUCACCAGGAAGUUCAGCAGUGACCAAAUGUGUUAGCGCAGGCAGCGCUUCCACGUGAAAUGCUUCGUGGCACGAAAUCCCUUCAAGGAGUAUGGAAUGUUAAUCCUUUGACACUCGGUUGAUCCAUCAAAACCUCCAGCUGUCAAAUCUGCUAGGUCCUCGGUGAAUGUGAUGCACCGUAGCACAAAAGUGGGGCAUCGCUGGUGGCAAAGCACUAACCAACCUGUGCUUUGGAGACAAGAUUAGGAUUGUCCAAGGUGGAAGUAUCCUUUUAGGUAAUUCACUGUCCAGCCAGAAGGCCUUGGAUAAAUAGCAUCAGUUGUGUCUUCUCCUACAUACGCUCAAAACAAAAAUGUGGUUGCUUUGGCAGUAACUUUAAUUGUAUCAUCAUAAUGUAGUGAUGCAGAAUGGGAAAGGGCCAUAGCCUGGUGGUAGAUCACAUGUUCAGUCCCUGGCAUCUCCAGAUAGGGCUGGGGAAGACUCUUGCCUCAAACCCUGGAAAGCCAUUCAUCACAAGGAAGCUUCCUGUGUCCAAGAUAUAUGGAGUAGUGGUCGGUGUGUUGGUCACUCAGAUUCCUACUCAGUUGUGAAGCUCACUGGGUGUCCUUGGGCCAGUCACUUUCUCUUAGCCUAACGCUCUUCAUAGGAUUGUUUAGAGGAGAAAAUGGGGAGGAGAACACUGAAUGCCACCUUGAACUUCCUGGAGGAAAGGUGGGAUAUAAAUGAAAAAAUAAAAUAAAUAUAAAUCUAUCUUAAAUGAGAUUGGUAGGAUCAGCAGUAGUGUUUGUUUUUGGGGUUUUGGUAAAUAAAUUUAUAUUAGUUUUUCACAGUUACAUUUUCACAAAUAAAAACAAAUACCUUUUCACAAACCUUCUCUGAGAUUCUUUAAAUCUCUGGACUUCCCUCGUUACCCUCUUCUGGUUACUUAUAUUAACCAAUUUCUUCUGCAUAUCCAUUCUUAAACCUUUUCCAUUAUUAUUUCCCUUAAUUUUAUCUAAUUUUCUACUAGUUGCAAGCAUUUACUUAAAAUCCUGCCAAUGUUUCAGCUUGUUUACAGUAUUUUUGCACAUAAACAACAAACAAUUCCCACUCUUUGUUAAAUUUCACGUUAUCAUAGUCUCUGAGCUUUGCCGUUAAUUUUGCCCUUUCGACGUAGCCCAUUAGCUUGAUCUGCCAUUCUUCUUUCGUCGGUGUCUUCCCUCCAUCUUUGGGCUAACAGUAUUCAGGCAACUAUUGUAGCAUACAUAAAUAUUUUCUUCUGUUCUUUAGGUAGUUCCGUUCCUAUCCUAAUAAGAAAGCUUCUGGUUUUUUUAACAAAAGUCAUUAUAGAUAAUUUCCCAGAAGCUUUUAAUAACCUUACAUUCCCAUCACAUAUGAUAGAACGUACCCUCCUUUUCUCUACAUUUCCAACACUUAUUAGAAGUAAUUUUUAAGUUUCUCCUGGAUAUUUCUCCCUCUCUCUCUCUCUCUCUCUCUCUCUCUCUCUCUCUCUCGUGUGUGUUCACUUGCUAUUCACAACGCAUUUCUGAGAAGAGUAAUACACAUAGGGUUGCAGUUGGCUUUUUAGCAAAAAAGGUUAAUCUGUUUCUCAAAUCCCGAUUAACCCCUAUUUGUAGGUUUAAACAGAUUUUGCAUGUCUUCAAAGUACAAGUGAAUUUUUCAGAAGUGGAUAGUGUGCAUAGGUUUAUAUGAAUGAACACACAUGUAUACCUGCUUCAAUUGUUCAGCUUUCGAUAGCUGUGUUUUGUUUGUGGUGAUAAUGUUCCCUUUCUGCUGAUAGCCCAAUUACCACUCAUUCCCAUUUGAGAGCAAAUUUUGUACUCACAAGCCCUAAAGGUUCCAGUAGUCAGUGAGUUGGAAAAAUACUUUAAAAAUUCUGUUCACAUCCCUUAUUGGCUACAAGCGUGUUUGAAAUCAUAAGUUGAUAAGAAAGGCUGUCCUGGCUGCAAGAGGCCAAAUCCCUUGUGGUGUCUGAAAAUUCAGCGCUGUACAUUUUUAGUCAUAACUGGAAUUUCUCUUUCUGAGUUUCCUAAUGCCCAGCAGGCUCUGAAUCUAGAAAAUGAAGAAUACAUUACAGCUGAAUUGCCUGACCUGCUUGCAAAAUUAUGCAAGGUGCCACCCGAAAUACUGAUACAAGCCUUCUGCAGCCUACAUUUCAGAUAUCUUGGACCAUUAUCUGUGCUGGCUGAGGCUGAUGCGAGUUUCAGUCCACAACAUUGGACUGGGGGAGGUUGGGCAGUGUCAUUGUCUGGGGUCCAAGUUUGAUUUGCAACCACAAAGCAAUGAGUGCCAAAGCAAAUGAAUACAGUGCAGUCUAAUGAGCUUACGGAGCAAUCCGAUACAUGGCUACUGAGAAGUAAGCCCCACUGAAUUUAAUAGGGCUUAUUCCCAAGUAUAAGGUUGCAGCCAUACUUGAACUGACAUUAAAAUAAAUGAGUUAAUGUCCCAGUAAGGCUGUUGGGGUUGACAAUGUCCGUUGCACAGAUCAGGAAACACUCCAGCACCCCAAAAAGCAGGUACGAUUCCUAGAUUUUCUAAGCUUUGGUUUCUGCUUGCACAGGGAGCUCCUCUUUAGGAAUUUGCCAGGGUGAUGGAGACUGGAGAAAAAGAAUACCCCACACUAGGUGUGACACAACCUAGCUUGUUUGUUGGGGUCAUAACCAACCAAUCAGGAAGUGGCAUGGGGAAACAGGGCCGGGUGUGACCUGAGUGGAGGAACUCCUUUCCUCUGUUCUGCUCCCUUGGGACUUAAAAGCUAGACUUCCUCAAACCUAGUUAUAACAUUUCCAAAACGUACAAAGCAUUUUGCCCUGGGUAAUAGAAUGGAAAGCAUUGUUGUUGUUGUUGUUGUUGUUGUUGUUGUUGUUGUCAUGCCAAUCUGGCUGGGCUGAGCUGCCCCAGCCACUCUGGGUGACUUCCAACACACAUAAUAAUAAUAAUAAUAAUAAUAAUGGACACCCAACAUUAAUAACAACCAGAUCCUAUAUAAAAGGUCACAAUAACUUUAAAAUAAACAACUUAUAUCAAAUAAAGCAACAUUCAAUAAUCCAUUAGAAUCCAAUAGUAAACAGUAAAAUUAAACAUCAGCAAAUUAUAAUUAAACAGUUAACACUUAUCAGUUGCUUACUUUCUCUCCCUCGAUGCUUAAAAAAGGGGUGACACAGCAAAUUUAAAUUCCUAACAUUUCUAAGCUGUCCUCUCUUAGGAAACAAAUUGCAAUCGCAUAAAUUGUUUUUCUUGGGAUGUUGGUGUAAUAGACUUGCCUCUUGAAUAAUCACAGGGGUAGAGAGCUCAUCUGUGUAAUGCCAAACUAUAGUUUGUUGUUACGUCUGAACUGAGUGACAAAGAAGUGCUCAGCUGCCUGAACAAGUCCAUUCUUUCUCAUUGAGUUUGUUGAUUCAGUCUUCCACAACCUGGUGCCCUCUGGAGAUGAUUGGGCUUCAGCUCUUAUCAUCCCAGGUCAUAGGUCAUGCUGGCUGGGGCUGAUGGGAAAUUGGGAGUCACACAACCUCUGGAAAGCACCAGGUAGGCAAAGGCUGAUUUAGUUUUUAGACCUACUUAAUAUGUCUCUGCACAUGGUUUUGGGCACACUUCAAUCAUGACAACACAAGAGUUGUGAUGCCAUGAUUCACCCACAUGGCUCAGCACGCAGAGCUGUUCCAUGUAACACGGUUCUACUUUGCGUUUAGUUUGUGCAGUCUUCUACCCCAUCGCUUUUAGUUAGCCCUCCUCUCCCGGUUUAAAUCCCAGUUCACUAUAAUGGUAAGACGCAAUGAAAGGGCAUGUGAGGACGCAACUGAAACAGAUGUCUUAGGCAUUGCUAGCACCUGUGAAAUGACCUAUUAGUGGAAUAGCCUUUGCCAAAACAACGAGGUGGGGGGGGGAAGCUGCCAUUUUUGCAACUCUUAAAUUUCACACUGCUAGCUUGAACAUACCAUGGAAAUGACAGAUGGCUAGGAGACUGAAAUCAGACAUUUUAAUGACAGAUUUCGUGCUGAAGGUGAGGCAGAUGGCAUGCUUUCCUGGCAAGUGUGCUCAGAGAUGGAAAAAACAGGAAUCGGCCAAUAGAAACUUUUGCUGCGAAACACCUUGCCUUCCUCUGUAGAUCAUCAGCCUUGCACACAGAAUGCCCUGUGUGCAGCAAAGUGUGUGUGUGUGUGUGUGUGUGUGUGCAUGCACACACUUUCUUGGAAGUCUCCACACAAUACUGAGGCACCCUUGAAUAUUUUUACAGAGAGGCUCAGGAUAGAAUUCAUAACGAAUUGGAAAUACUUGCAACAAAUAUUUGCAAACUUUCUAAUGGAAGGGCAGCCUGCCGUAUGGUUUAAGACGUUUGCUCUUAAAAACAGAUUUAAGAGAUGUUUCACAGGCCCAUGGCACAAAUUUGCAUAGAUUUGUAUAGAGUGCCUCUGGGCAAAUUAAGGUGGCAGGUGGAUGGGUGCUCUGUCGCAGUGGCCCAUCGAUAUAUUGAAUUUUAAGUGCAGGACUAAGGGGCAUGAGGUCUGAUCCUAACGUAGAAGUUCUGGUGCUCAGACCCUCUGGGAAAACCCAUUAACAAUGUCCUCUGUCCAGCAAUAUCAGCAGAACAUAGAAAAAUGUCAUAAACUUGAUGAUUGGUCUAUCUAGCUCAGUAUUAUCUGUACUGGCUAGACCCCGCUCUCCAGGGUUUCAGGCGAUGGAUUGAAUGUGAGACUUUUUCAUGCAGACGAAUUUUCAUGCUUUAUUACUGAGCCAAGGGCCUGCUAGGCUCUCAGUGUGAUGGCUCUGUAUCAAGUGUGGGGGACAUUUGGCCUUCUAGAAGUUGCUGAACCAAAGCUCCACGCAGCCCCGGAAAGCAUGGCCAAUGGCCAGGGGUUUGUUGGGGGGUUGCCAUUGUUGUUGGCAUCAUGGAGUGCACCUCCAGGAGUGAAGUUGAACCACUGCAUUAGCAGCACCAAAGUGGUGUAGUGGUUAAGAGCGGUAGACUCAUAAUCUGGUGAAUCGGGUUUGCGUCUCUGCUCCUCCACAUGCAGCUGCUGGGUGACCUAGGGCUAGUCACACUUCUUGAAGUCUCUCAGCUCCACUCACCUCACAGAGUGUUUGUUGUGGGGGAGGAAGGGAAAGGAGAAUGUUAGCCGCUUUAAGACUCUUUCGGGUAGUGAUAAAGUGGGAUAUCAAAUCCAGACUCUUCUUCUUCUUCUUCCUCCUCCUCCUCUCCAGAUUUGUGUGGGGUUUACUGCUUAGCCUUUUCUUCUCUCAAAGAUAUCCUGCAAGGCAGUAGAGGUUUAGGAUCAGAGUUUUCCUUCUCCUAGAUGGGCUACUUUCCCAUGUUGACAAGCCCCAUCUGCCCCUCACUACAGCAUGUGCAAAAACUGCCUUCUUGACUGUAAUAGUAAUAGUUGCUGAACCAACUAUAUAGUGCCACUGUAUUCUGCUCUGGUCAGACCUCACCUGGAGUACUGUGUCCAGUUCUGGGCACCACAGUACAAGAAGGACACUGACAAACUGGAACGUGUCCAGAGGAGGGCAACCAAAAUGGUCAAAGGCCUGGAAACGAUGCCUUAUGAGGAACGGCUAAGAGAGCUGGGCAUGUUUAGCCUGGAGAAGAGGAGGUUAAGGGGUGAUAUGAUAGCCAUGUUCAAAUAUAUAAAAGGAUGUCACAUAGAGGAGGGAGAAAGGUUGUUUUCUGCUGCUCCAGAGAAGCGGACACGGAGCAAUGGAUCCAAACUACAAGAAAGAAGAUUCCACCUAAACAUUAGGAAGAACUUCCUGACAGUAAGAGCUGUUCGACCGUGGAAUUUGCUGCCAAGGAGUGUGGUGGAGUCUCCUUCUUUGGAGGUCUUUAAGCAGAGGCUUGACAACCAUAUGUCAGGAGUGCUCUGAUGGUGUUUCCUGCUUGGCAGGGGGUUGGACUCGAUGGCCCUUGUGGUCUCUUCCAACUCUAUGAUUCUAUGAUUCUAUGAUUCUAUGACUGUUUGGUCUUGUCCGCUUAAUCUGCCGGAGCCCAUCUUCGCAUGCAGGUUUCGUCUAGGCCAGCGUUAUCCAUACAGGCUGGCAGCUUUGCAAUGGUAAUGUUGUGUGCUUUAGAGUCUCAUAAGUCACUUUGUGAAAGCAGGGCACCCUGAAAAUAAAAACAAACAAACUUCCAUUGCAUCUCUGUUAAUUUUUGCUUGGUGUGAUCUCUGUACAGGUGGUUGGCUGAUGGGGAGUGAGAGAUACCUGGCAUGUGUGAGCUCCUUCCUUGGAGACAUUGGACUGGGGAGAAACUUGAGAGUCAGAGUUUUCCUUCUGUUCCUCACUUCCCUCUACAGCACGUGCAGAAGCCGCCUUCUUGACUGUUGGACCCACUAUUGGUCUCAUCCGCUCAAUCUGCCAGGGCCUGUCUUAUACCCACUAUUUUAAAAGUUCUUAAAAGUGGGGUAACAAUGCCUCUUGACAGGAAACGCUGAGAAUUGUAGCUCUGUGAGAGAAACAACAACUCGCAGCACCAUUAGCAAACUACAGCUCCCAUAAUUUUUGGGAGAGGAAACCGUGACUGUUAAAAGUGGUAUUUAAAUGUACAGCAAAUGUGGCCUACCUCUCCGGUGAAUGGAAGCUGAUGUAGGAGGCAAACACAACCCAUUCAUAACGAUAAAGAUUUCUGUAAUGCUUGUCUCAAAGGUUGCUAUUUGAAUUCUACAGACUAAUAUUUUUACCACUUCAGAUCAUUCACUCCGUUGUAUCUGUGCUGUGUUGGUGUUUGCUGACUGCGUCUUAAUUGGAGGACGCAACUUGGGACGUGAGCCAAGUUCUUGUGUUAAAAUAGCAUAUGUGGUGGCCGCUUGGAAAUAGAACCGACAGGGCCUUGCUUUUGUGUGGGAAGCAGCUACCCAACUGGCAGUCGCUGUGUUAGCUAUGGAUCACAGCAGCCACUCCUUCAGAUGAAAAGCUUUGUAGCGUGGAAUGGAGCAAAAGCAGAUGUACUGGCAAUAGCAGCUUGGAGAAAAACCAAUCAGGUCACAUAGAUGCAUCUUAGAGUUCUAAGCAGGUACAUUUUUGUGUAAGGCAACAAGUUUUGUUUCCUUGCUGAAAGCUAUACAUUGGUAUAUUUAUCCAUACUUUUCAUUAGUGGGAAAGGCCAUUGUAUGAACAAGUAAAGAAGAAGAUUUUUUUUAGCUUAUAAAUAUGGGAGCAUCGCUCUUUGUUUUUCUUUCAUCUGAUUCUUUCAUCUGCCACCAUCUCUUCCUUGCUUUCGAGCCAUUCUAUUUACUCUUAAAUGAUCUCAUUCUUUCAUCCAUAACAGCACAGUAGUGCUUUAAGAGAAAUAAUGAUAGCACCAUCAAUAGCUUGUUGGACUGGGUAACUCUUUUGAUAAGUGUCCGGGAACUGCCAUUGGCUCAGGGGCGAGAGAGGGAAAGGCGGAUGGAUUACAGAGAGCCCCCAAAAAUUGUGGGAAGCAGCACUUCCUCAGUGGAGGAAGGAAGCCACGCCUCUAGUGGGGAGGAGAUGCAGGGCUCGGAGGAUGCAAGGCGGUGUCAGGACACCUUGCCUGAGCAAAGCGGGGAGGAGGGAGGUCCCCCUUUACCCAAGCCUUCCUUGCGCAGUAGGCUUUUGCGCAGAGAGGGGAGGCGUCGGCUGGGGGUCAAGAAACUACUCUGCUGGCGAAGAUUCAAGGACCACCCACUCUCAGAUUCUGCUAGUGAAUGAGCAAGACAUGGAAUAGAGGCGCUCUGCAUUGUAAAGGUUUUUAGCACCAAUAAUAAAGCUUUAGAACAGGCCAGUGAGGCAUCUUGCCUGAUUGCUCUCGAGCAACCACCCGAUAGCCUUAACAAUAAGCUUCUUAAUCUGAGCAUUUUUCCUUUUCAUUCGAGUACAUCAGUAGCUUCUCCUGAGCAUGCUAAGGCUUUGUUCAGAGAGCAGUGAGAUCUUAGCAGUUUUGCACACGUCACUUAAACUGUGCACUGGGAGCCAAAUGGAUGUUUUCCCAAGAUCAACAACUGAUCUCUUCACUUACCUUUUUCAAUAAAAGCUAAAUGCAGCUGGGUUUUUGGGGGGGAGGGGUGUGUGCUUCUAAUUGUGAUUGGUGACAGAGUGAGCAAAAAGGUGCAAGACUGCAGUCCAAGACAGUUCUUCAAGUUGCAGCUGUAGAAAUUAGAAUCAUAGAAUAGUGGAGUUGAGGGACUCCAAGGGUCCUCUAGUCCAACCUCCCUGCAAUGCAGGAAUCUCAGCUAAAGCAUCCAUGACAGAUGGCCAUCUAACCUCUGCUUAAGAACCUUCAAACCAGGAGAGUCCACAACCUCCUGAGGGAGAGACCAUUCCUAUUAACUCUUCAACCAUAGUUUAGAGGUCCUGGGUCCUAAGGAAGUCAGACUGUCCUCCACCAGGGCCAGGGCCUUUUCAGUGAUGGCUCCAACCUGGUGUAAUGCUCUGUCUGGAUGAGACGUAGAUAUAACUGGUGGCUGAAGACUUGCUUUCCUUGUCUCUUCUCCUGCCCCCCUCAGCAGUAUACCACAGCUUCUAUAGCCUACAUAUAGUAGGGAUAUUGAAACGAGAGUCGUCAUAGCGUCCUCUUUUUUGCUCUUCAAAAUAUGGCAAUCCUACAAUAGUGUCUCUAAGUAGUCGUCCAUAGCCCAAUAGUCACACAGCACAUAAUUAAUCUAUGAAUUUGCUCCCAGUAGAGGUCGUGAUGGCCACCAAGUUGGAUGGCUUCAAGAGGAUUAUACCAGUUCAUGGAGACUAACACUAUCAGUGGCUACUUCUUCUGUCUUUACUGGUGGCCAGCAUUCUAGGUUACCGCAAUUGAAUCUCUUUAUGUUCUUCCUUAAAUUAUUCUAUCAUGAAUUGGUGUUUUUAUCUCAAUGGAAAUACUGUACCCAAAAACCUAUCGUUUAUGCUCAUUAGGGUACUGGGUUUCGAGUACACUUUCCCCACCCCUUUUCAUUAUACACUGCAAACAUUUUCCUGCUAGGAAGGUAAACCCCAUAACCCUCUGAAAUCAGUGACCUAAUUAUGUAUGACAGUCAUUAGCCCAGUGGAACAGCAGCCUGCCUGAGAGCAUCUGUUUGAGAAAGCCCUGUGUUGCCGUUUUACUCUGAUGCAUUUGAAAUGCAAAUCGCAGCGCUAAUUAGACAGCCUUUCUGCAUCGAACCACAUAGCUCUUUUCUCUUGAAGCUUGUAUGCAACUGUCAGGCAGGCUUCAGAAGAGUUGGGGGGGUUUCGCCUGUCGCUGUCCACAGCAUUCUCAUUUUCCCAAAUGUGCAAGAGCGUUUCUUAUGAGGGAAGUGAUCUGAGGAUGCAUCUCCGUAACCUUGCAUGCUCAGAGAGCCACUCCCAUUUCUUGGGGCCCUAAUCUCCAAAUCCUUCCAUGCAGCUGUGGGGUGUGGCUCUCCAUGAAGCCACAGUCAACUGAGCCUGUGUGCAUAAAUAUUGUUAAAAUAGCCGCUCUCUUAGAACAGCCUCCUGGCUACAGUAGUCACCAUACGCCUCCAUGAAUAAAAGACAUCUUUCAUUCCCUGUAGGGAAAGUGCUCUCUCUGCUGGGCUUCAGGGGACAUCUGUCAACAAUGGAGGUAGAGGAUCUCUUCAAGUAAAGACUCCUAAACCAACCUAGUUGCAUCAUUUAAGCUCUACCGAAUGUUUGGGGAAGGGGUCAGCAAUUUCAGCUGGGGGCCAGUCCACUGUCCCUCAGACCUUGUGGGGGGUCGGGCUAUGUUUUUUUUUUGGGGGGGGGAGAACGAAUUCCUAUGCCCCACAAAUAACCCAGAGAUGCAUUUUAAAUAAAAGCACACAUUCUGCUCAUAUAAAAACACCAGGCAGGCCCCACAAAUAACCCAGAGAUGCAUUUAAAAUAAAAGGACACAUUCUACUCAUGUAAAAAACACGCUGAUUCCCAGACCGUCCAUGGGCUGGAUUUAGAAGGUGAUUGGGCUGCAUCUGGCCCCCAGGCCUUAGUUUGCGUACCCAUGGUUUGGGAGAACGGGAGCUCUGAGGCAAGGGGGCAGCCUUGUGGGGAGGAGAACUUAUCAAUGGCUCACAUAAGGGCAGUCUUUUAUGUAUUGGCAAAAUGAACUACAUCAGCAAAAAGAGGUCAAAAGAGGUUACAGAUUCAGUAUGGUGGUGAGAGUGUUGAACUAGGACUUGGGAGACUAGAGUUCAAAUUCCAACUCAGACAUGAUACUCUCACUGGCUGAUCUUGGUCCAGUCACUGCCUCUCAGCCUAACUUACUUACAGGGUUGUUGUGGGGAACAAAUGAGGGAGAGAACCACCUUGAGCUCAAUGAAUAAAAAAGUGGAAUGUACCGUAUUUUUCGCUCUAUAAGACACACUUUUCCCCUCCUAAAAAAUAAGGGGAAAUGUGUGUGCGUCUUAUAGAGCAAAUGCAGGCGGGAGGCUCUGCUCAGCGCUCCCUUUAAAGAGCCAUACACACACUCCACGCACUCUUUAAAGGGAGUGCGGCUCUUGGGGGAGCCUUAGCCGUGCACAGCCUCUCCUGGGCAGGGGAUGAAGGCUCCCCUUGCCCAGGAGAGGCUGACGCAGCUAUCCCAUAAGCCAGGACAGCCAGCGGGAUCACUGCGCAGCAAUCCCGCUAGCUGUCCUGGCUUCUGGGAUUCAGAAUAUAUUUUUUCUUGUUUUCCUCUUCCAAAAACUAGGUGCGUCUUAUGGUCUGGUGCAUCUUAUAGAGCGAAAAAUAUGGUAAAUGCAAUACAUAAGUAAUAAAUAAUCUUGUGUAUCAGUCAAAAAUUUAUUUUUGCCUGUACUCAAACAAUUGAUAUAUCCCAUCCAAUCAGGCUAUCAGAGCUGCUUGUUUGUCUGUUUUAAGCAUUUUAUUUUACAUGUACUCAUCCAUCAAUAAGGCUCUCGGAGAAGCUUGCAUAAGAUCAAUAAAAACCAGACAGCCUUUGCCCACUGGCUUGCACCAUAAAAGACACCAUACAAAGGGGAAAAUGGAGAGGGAAGGUAAACAAGGAAAGUCAGGUACUAGUUCUCAAAAGUCUUACAAUAACCAGCUGGAAUAGAAACAAUUCAAGGAGAAAGGCCUAAUGGAGCUCAUCUCUCAGUAGAAAGUACCGAAAAGUCAAGAUACGGUGCUAAUGUGUGGCCCUGAUCCAAUUCAAAGGUGUUAUUGGCAUCAAGCUUCAACUCAUGAGGUGAGGGGAAGACCCCAUCUGCCGAAUCACCCCGAUUUACCUUGUUAUCCAGUCACCACAAAGAGUCAAUGCAUACCUUGAAUCAAUUACUGCUUCAAGUUAUUUCAAGGAAGAAUGCACAGCAGCCAUUUUGGGAAGCCAUGAGUAGCAUUCAACUAAGUCUUGCUCAGAGAAGGCCCUUUGAAAUUAAUGAACAUGGCUUAAGUUAGGUUUGUUCGUUUCAGCGGGUCUAUUCAAGAGUAAAAGGUACUUGAAUAGCACCUCAUGGAAUCACAUUUUCUCUCUCUCUUAAAACUGAGAUCAUGAAGAAACAUGCAUAUGUUGUGAGGCCCUAGAAUUAUUUGGCUCACCAAUGCACAGCAGCAGUAAUUCGAUUAAUAGCAAAUGCUCUCAGAAAAGAUUACUGAAAGGCACAGAUUGAGUCAUAGGUUGGGCUGGUUAUUUUUCAGGCUGAAUUUUCAGCACUGUGAAUAAAAUAACCAACAAUGUAAACUUAAUGUGCCCCAUGCAUUUUUGUUUUUAAAAAGAAAUAUUUACAUUAACCGCACAAAAUGUUAAUUGCACACGCAUAAACAGUGCAAGGGCGAGUUUACUCAGCCUUCUUUCCAGGCAAAUGUUACAAAACUAAACAGAUCUCUUAUGAUUUUUCUCUGAGGCUCUGGUUGAAGGGGAAAGCUUCCCAUAUGGUUCCUGUAUUACAUCUCAGAGCUGGCUUUUAAUUCUUCUUCUUUACAGCAGAGCUUAACACUUUAUCAGUUUAUUUGCAAAGAUUUCAGGAUGCAGUGUUCGCCAGAGGAGUACUUUGCUUAUGUGUGGUGAUGGUAACAGAACAGAGCUUGGUUUCUUGGUUCCCUGGCUUUUGUUUAACAAAAAAAAAAUCAUGCUUCUGCUUCUGAAGCAGAAGGCAGGGAUUAACACAUGUGACCAGCUUCUGCUUUUGGUCUAAAAUGGAAGGGAUUAAGAACAUCAGGCCAAUGGCCCACCUAGUCCAGCAUCCUGUUCUCACAGUGGCAAAAUGGGCAAGCAGGGUCUGUGUGCAGCAACACUCUUCCCAUUUGUGCUUCCCAGAAAGUGGAAUUCAGAAGCGUUCUGCCUUCCAAAGAAGAGGAAAAACAUGGCAAACAUGGCUAGUAGCCGUUGAUGGCCUAGCUAUGAUGACUUUGUGUCUGAGGCAGUGCCAGUUGCUGGAAAUCACAAGUAGGAAAAGCGCUGUUGCACUGAUGUCCUGAUGCUUGCAGGCCUUCUGUCUCAUAGGCCUCUGCAGGAUGUGAAGAAAUACUAACUUUUGCCUGUCCUGAAUCUUCCAAAAUUCAGCUCCAUUAGAUGACCUCUAGUUCCUAUAAUAUGAGAGAGGGAGGAAAAGACUUUUCCCUUUUCUAAAGUUAACGAUUCAGAACACCAUAGCUUUUCCCUGUCAAGGACAAAAGGAACGUUUGUGAUAUGGAGUGCAUCAAUGCCUGGGAAAGGGAAGGGGAAGGAUAAACAGUCCUUACCUGUCACACAGGUAAGUUCAGAAGUGAUGCUAAAUGUGGGUUGUCAGUUUGGGGGGAAGCAGUUUUAUCUAUUUUAUCUGUAAGCCACCUUGAGUCCCUGUCAGGGGAAAAGGCUGGGUGUAAAUAAAUAAAUAAGAAUAAGAAUAAUUUGGAAUGUAUGUGUAUCAGUUAUAUCUGUUAUAUCUCUAUGCAGCACUGUGGUUCUUGGCUAGUGGGUCUGACAACAGCCUGGAAGGAAUCAACCCCAAAUAGGAAACAGGAUGUUUGACUGAAUGGAUCUUUAAUGUCACCUGUACAUUCAUCUGCUUAUUGUGUUGCGGCAGUGAUAUAAACCUCAUAGUACUGUUAAAUCUCAAAUCACAGUCCAACAUCUAAAACUUGAAUGAACAUCCAGUUAUCUCACAUUAAGGCACUUCACCAAGUUUCACUGCAGAAGGCAUGUUGAUAUUCUUAGGGGGAUAUACAAGCCAUGGGCUGGUUCAUUCUGUCUGGGGCUGCCAUUCUGUAGAGGCACGUUGAGAUGUAUUUACUAAACUGAGUAGAGUCAUUGCUGCAGGUAAUGGCAGAAAAUGCUUCAUUCUCAACACCUGACAGUCAGCCACCUUGGGGAUGCAAUCGUAAAUAUACCUAUUUAGAGACAGGUCACUGCCCACAUCAAACUGUAAGCCCAGUGGCAAUACUAGAAUGUGAAUUGUCCAUGACAGCAGGACUCUCAAAGGAGGUGUGGGUUUUUUUGCUUUCUGUUUAAGAUAAACAAAAUGGAAAAAAAGAAAAUGCCCACCUCCAUUUCAUAGUUUUUAAGGGUUCUCGAAUAUAUAAAGUGAAGAGGGACACAGGAAUAUAUUUACCUUCUGCAAAGUACUUUUAAAUAAUGUGUGUGUUUUUAUUUAGCAUUCUGCUCUCAUCCCGUAUUCAUUUCACAAUGAUAUGGGAGGUAAUUACAAGAGAUAUGUAAGGUAAUUAAUUUUGUAUAUUUCAAAAAUGGAUAUUCCAUUGCUGUUUCCAAGGUCUGCUUUCUGUUAUUUUGAUUUAAUUCGACAAUUAACCAGCAAUGCAAGGUCAUGAAUGGAAGCGUGCAAACUGAGUUUGCCAUCAACCUGUCUGUAUCACUCUUGUUAUGCGUUUGGACUGCUAAAUUAAGAUAGACCAGAAUUGCUCCAGGGAUGAAGCCUUAAGGGUGUCUUGGAAGGGACCAUGUGAAAAUAUCCUUCUGGAGUCCAGAGGCAGGGUGUGGAGAGACGAAACUCUGUUUUGCAGAUGCUCUCCCCCAAUUAGAUAGCUGGGUACUCUUCACCAUUACACAGCAUGUUGUCCAAACAAAUGUUCUGUGUCUAAGUAGAAUCACUGCUGAUUCAUUUGUACAGUAAAUUUAAUUGAUUGACAAGCUGGAACGUGUGCAGAGGAGGACGACCCAAAUGAUUAAGGGUCUGGGGAAUGAUUGAGGGAACAGGGUAUGCUUAGCUUGGAUAAGAGGAGACUGAGAGACGAUAUGAUAGCCAUCUUCAAAUAUCUCAAGGGCUGUCACAUGGAAGAUGGAGCAAGCUUGUUUUCUCCUCUUCUGGAGAUAGGAUAGGCUUCAAGUUACAAGAAAGGAGAUUCCAGCUAAAAACCAGGGAGAACUUCCUGACAGGAAGAGCUGUUUGACAGUGGAACGGACUCCCUUGGGAAGUUGUGGACUCUCCUUCCUUUGAGGUUUUUAAGCCGAGCUUGGCUGGCACUCUGUCCUGGAUGCAACCGCCUCAGGCGGUAGAAUCCACGGGGGCAGCAGGUCCUGAUGUCAAUCUUUCUUCCUCUCUUGCUCCUGAUGUAGAAUUUUCCCCCUCACUCCUUCUUUCCAGGCAGGGAGUGGGGUUCUGCUUUGGGGUCUGCCUCGGGUGCCGAAAUGUCUUGUGUCGGCUCUGCCCCAUACAUUGCGGGAAUCACAGCUGAUCAGGGUAGAUGUGUAAGGGUCUGAUACCAGGGAAUGUGGGCAGUACUGACUUAGAUGGACAAAUCGAACUGAUUUACAGUGGUGCCUCGCAAGACGAAAUUAAUCCGUUCCGCGAGAGUCUUCGUCUAGCGGUUUUUUCGUCUUGCGAAGCAACCCUAUUAGUGGCUUAACGGAUUAGCGCUAUUAGCGGUUUAGCGGCUAUUAAAGGCUUAAAGGCUUAGGGGAUUAGCUGCUAAAAGGCUAUUAAAGGCUAUUAAAGGCUUAGCAGAUUAGAUAAAGGGGGGGGGAGCGAAAAAAAAAUCUCAAGACUCGCAAGACAUUUUCGUCUUGCAAAGCAAGCCCAUAGGGAAAUUCGUCCUGCGAAGCAACUCCAAAACGGAAAACCCUUUCGUCUAGCGGUUUUUCCGUCUUGCGAGGCAUUCGUCUUGCGGGGCACCACUGUAUUGUGAAACAACUUCCUAGGUUCUGAAAGGGUGGCUGGGGCGGGUGGAGGAGGUACAUUUUUUUUAUGUAUGUUGCUGUAGAUUCCCCCUCCCCCUGGUUUUAGGUAUGAUAUUCCAUUAGUUAUGGAACAAGGCUUCUUCUUUAUUGGCCCUGAUGCAGGAAGCCCCUUUAAACACAUGCAAGAGACUGUACGCAAGCAGUGCAGCUUACAACACAUUCAUGAACAGCAGCUCCUUAUAUAGUAGCACAAACUGCCCCCCCCCGCCCCGGAAUAUUAAAAAUAUUUGCACUGCAGCAUGCAGUGAGGGAGGGGGCACUGUUGUCUGAAAAAAAAUAUGUCAUGCAUGCAGCACUGAUUUUUAAUCUGCUAACAGAUUACACCCACAUUUUCUGGAAUUGUCCCUUUUUUUUUAGGAAUUCUGUUUCUGAAAUAAUUUCAGAAAUGUUAGGCUCCAUUUGGACAUGUGUUCCUAAGAUAUUUCUGCUUGGAUACUUAAAAGGUGUUAUCAUAGACAGCGAUCAAGGGGUGGUAAUCAAUUUGAUUACUGCAGCAAAAAUAAUAAUUGCUAAGAAUUCGGGGGGGGGAGCUUUUUUCCUCUCACUACCUUUGAGUGGGUCGAGAAGAUUUGGAAUAUGGCAAAAAUGAAUGAGGGAACUCAUUUUAGGGGAAUACAAGCAGAAUUAACCAAAUAAAUAAAUUUGGGGAGCUCAGGGAGGGCAGAAACUUCCCAUAGAACAGAAGGGCAAAAGCUGCUUGGUAUUGCUUUUCAGUAUAUGGGGAAAUUGUAUUUUUUUGAUAUACUGGAAUAGCAAGUACAAUGAUAAUAUACAGCCUUAUGAUGCUCUCCAUUCAUCAUAAUGUGGGGGUUUUCUAGUUGGAAAUUUUAUUACUGUAUUUUAAACUUUCUGGUUCUGGCUGGGUUUUUUUUGCAAACUAUAACAAUUGCACCACAGCAUUUACAAAUGUAACUAACUUAUUAUUAUUAUUAUUAAUAAGGGACAUAUCCUCCACAACUCUUUCAACAUUUUAUUUUAUUUUUAUUUUAGGUACAAGAUUCCCCCCCCCAAAAAAAAAAUUCCAGCUCCACUAUAUAUGGGAUUAAAAAGCAAAUGAUUUUAUAAGUUGCGUGUCGAGGUCCCCAGGGCCACCCCAAUAACUCACACAUCACACAGAAUUUUUUGUUUAAGAUUUUUGGCAUAAUCUGGGCCACAACUUUAUUAAAAUACAAAUUUGUGAGUGGUUGCUUAGGCAUUGGUUGCGACUAUCUACCCCCACCAUGGGGGACAGACUGACAUUCCGCACGAUGCAAAAGUCAGAAUAGGGGAAUACACUUGGGGGUAACGACGGAGCAGGGAACCUGCCCUCACCCCAAAUGCAACCAGGAGCUCAUUGCUAUGGCCCCUUGACAGAGUGGACAAGCAAUAGUUAGCCCCCAAUUCCUUUAAUGGAAUCCCUUGCAGCAGCAGCAUUAGAGGGGCAGGCACUCAACCUACCAAGGGCAGGCACUCAACCACUGCCCCUCAACCAACCAAACCAUAAACCAAUGCCUAACCGCAACCUUACAAGUUGUGACGAUUUGCUACGCAGUAGGCAAAAACCAAAUGACCCCAGCCAAUCAGCCAGAUGGACAAAAUUCCUACUGGGCCCCUGCCCCAAAGCAGACGACGCCAUGACAGGCAUAGCAAGGUCAAAGCGAACAACCCUAAUUCUAGGGAGGGGGGGACGGGCAAUCCGAUUCACAGUCGAAAAGAGGAAGCUCUACGCCUCGUGCAAGGAGUUUUAGCAUUUCUGGCUGUCAAUCAACAAAUGACAACAUUAACUUCUUCCCAACAACAAGGGAAGCCCAAUCGCAUUCGUGGCCAACGAUCACUUACCCCGCCCCCAACUUUGGAGUGUCCUGGCGGCCCCCACCGCAACACGUGCUCUCCAUGAACACGCUUUAUCAAAACCAACAAAUUUAUGAUUAGUGGCCUAGUUCUUUAACUAAUUUAGCACACAAUUAUAAGCAUUUUAAAGCAUGAAACAUUACACAUCUAUCUGUUUUUUGCAUCCUAUUGUUAUUUAGAACAAAGACUAUGAGCAAAAGGGGAAAUUGCUGCAGAUAAAUAUUUAUUUUAUGAUGAAUUAAAAUUCAAACUUGAACCUACUUAGUGUGUUGGUAGUCUUGUUUGUUUCACUUUAUAUAAUUUCAUUAUUAUAUUUCUCUUUCAGUCUUUUUUCUCUUUCUUAUAUUUUGAAUGGCAAGCUGUAUAAUGUGUGGGGUUGUAUCAGGCUGAAUUUAUUGACAGCAUCCUGCUAUUUAGGGCUCUUAUUUUUAUUUUCACUAAAUAAAACAUUUUUGUACUUGACUUUUAACACUGAUUUUUAUCCAUAGCAAAGAGAUUUCCUUUGUGAGCAAGCUCACUUUCACAUUAGUACUUUAACAUAUACAUUUCAAGGCAUAAAUGUGAAGGUUGCUGAGGCAAAGGGGGCCAGGAGGGGCAAUAUAAAUUUUUUAUCACUUAGCAGAACAUGGAACCAGUGGGAACUGCACACUCAUUCUGAAUCUCGAUUGAGGAAAAUCUACAUUAUUUCAUGUAAGAAUUAUUAGUUACAUAGGUGUCAAAUGUGCUAGCUUUUUUGGGGGGGGGGAUUGCAGCAUACUUUUUUUUCAUUAUUGCAUACCAAUGAUAAGUAUUUAUGAUGUUGGGUCUUUCUCAUUUAAACAAUGGUGUGAAGAGAUGCUGAGCCACAAGGUCGGAAUACAUGGCAUGUGUGCAAUCGUGUGCUUUCUGAAUUCAAUAAUUGCUUCCAUAGCAGUAAGUGCUUCAUUAGAAAGAAUUUAUUCUUUCCUCGAGAAGCCUUCCUUUCCUUAAUAUGAGCAACUGUCAUACCUUAAACCUUCUUUUCCUUUACAUCUCUUCUGCAAAAUAUUGAUGUCUUGCAAGAAAUGCAUCUUCUCCUGGCUCCUAAAACAACAAUCCUUUGCAGGGCCGGCCCUCCCAUUGGGCAGAAUAAAGCGGCUGCCUCAGGCAGCAGUUGCAGGGGGGCAGGGAGUGAUGCAAGGUCUUGGAGGACAGAGAACUGUGUGUCAGGCAACUUGCCCAGUGCCCCCUCAACUGAACUACUGGCCUCCAUUGUGGUAUAGGAAACCACCAGUGUUCAAGUUCGAUUCAGGGAGCAUCAUCUGAGAACCUUUUCCACUUUGAUCCAUGUUUAUUUUGAAUUUCUUAAUUAAAAGAUGUUGGGUGGAGAGACCUGGAACUGACCCCCCCCCCAAAAAAAAGGUCUGGGUUGUUAGCAAUCUGAAUUUUUAGAGUUUCUUCCCUUUUUUAGUCUUUCAUUUUUAUUUCCUGAUAAUAUGUUGCUGAAAACAGAUGUGGUCUGUUUGUACAACUUAGUCCUGGGCCAAGAUCAGUUGGAAUGGAUUCUGGCAUCCUUUUAAGCAUACGAGGUACUUAAUCUUCCCCCGGAGUUCACAAUGCAUGACCUUGAGAGAAUCUUGAAAUGUACAAGAUGGUGUGUAGAAAGAUGGAAAUGUAGGGAACUGCCUUAUAAAGUAGGUUCGACUAUUUUCCAUAUAGCCCCGUAUUGGUAACUUUGAGUUAGUGGCUGUCCACUACCUGAAGCAGAGGUCUUUCACAUUGCCUGCCACCUGACCCAGUUUUAAACUGGAGAUCCAGGGGAUUGAACCUGUGACCUUCUGAAUGCAAAGCCAGAGCUCUACUGCUGAGCUGUGGUACCCCCCACCCCAUGCUUUGGUUUCCCUCUUACUGAAAGACAUUAAUGAGAGAUUUUCCUGUUGAGUCCGGCUGCUUCUAGACCAUCACACUAUAAUUCAUUCAUACAAAGUGGAGUUGAUGGUCUUGCGCAACAAAGCCACUUCCAAAAGAAGUGGGGUUUUUGUGGCAAGGAAAGUGACAGGAAAAUGCAUUGGAUAAUGGCAGUGUUGGGCGACAUCCUAAAACCACCAUCCAAACAAGAUGAAUGCUCAAUAAACAAGACAAUCUGGCAGAGCCCUCUGUUGGAUACUGGGAUCGGAAACCUAAAGAUUGCUUUAAACCACAUCGUUCAGUUUUCCCGCAGCUAGUAUAUGUUUGUGCCAAACAAAAUCAGUUUCCACAAGCAUCAUUUCAUUUGUUUCCUGAGCUUUUUCUAGGGAUCUUUUUUGUGAAUACAGAAAACAUAGACUAAAACACCCCUUUUCAAGCUCUUUUCCUAAAUGUCUUGUAAAGGGCUUGACACUGAUCUCUUAAGAUUUUCUGCCAACCCUGGGGAAAGUAAGGCACCGAGGGUACAAUUUAAAUGGAAAGAUGAUGUAUUGUGGGGCUUUGCUACAAAUAGCACAUUGCCCAAUUAUAAGAAUAAUCUUCUCCAAAGCUUGCCUAGUAGAGACAUGUUAGAAACCCAAUCGGUCCCCUUAGCUAUUUGGCUAUCGGAGCUUAGGGCCAGCUCUGAUGUGUCUUUCUUCACUGAUAAAGGCUCUCAAACCACUAGACUUUGAGAGCUUUCUGUAACAAUGAUUCACAUGGACAAUGAAGAAGAAGAAUUCCCCCAGCUUCCCCCAAAGGAAGAGAACUCUGGGUUUUCCCAGUUGCUCAUUUGAAAAGAUCUGCUUCUCUUACACAUUUUCCUUUUGUGCUCACUUCUUCAAAUCACACAGUAAUACAGAAGAUUUUUAAGUAUACAGUGGUACCUCAGGUUACAAACACCUCAGGUUACAAUUCGGGUUACAGACUCUGCUAACCCGGAAGUAGUACCUCGGGUUAAGAACUUUACCUCAUGAUGAGAGCAGAUAUCGUGCGGCAGCGAGAGGCCCCAUUACUUAAAGUGGUACCUCAGGUUAAGAACGGUUUCAGGUUAAGAACGGACCUCCGGAACGAAUUAAGUUCCUAACCAGAGGUACCACUGUACUGGUAUUAGACACCUAGGGCAGUGUUCAACUAAAUAACUGUGCAAGUGGAACAUUUAUUGCAGUGGGACUUUGUCCCCAUCCCUCAGUCUCUGUGUGUCCUGAAUCUGUUCCAGAGAAUUGGAGUAACCCCUACAACAGAUUUAGGGGGUGCACAGGGGAGAAGAUGAGGGAGGGACUUUCCAUUGCAGUUAUCUUUAUGCUGUGAUUAAUCCCAUCCCUAUUAAAAUUCUUUAGGUGUGACAUUUUCGGUUUAAAAACACAAUAAUAUGCAGUGAAAAUCCACAGUAAGUCAUAACAUCCAAGUGAACAUACAGCCACAUAUUACAAAACCACACUAAGAAAACACAAUAAAAUCUCAAGAGCUGAGAAUGUACUAACAUGACUAGCAAAAUACAGAAGUUAACACUACCAUGAAAGCUGGGAGAACAGAAAAGGCUUCGCUUGAUGCCUAAAUGACAACAAUGUAGGUACUCCCAAGCCAGUUUCCCUUGGGUGAGCAUUUCAUAACCAGGGCACUACCCAGCAAGAAUGAAUGUAAGACGAGCCUACUGGAUUAGGGCCAGUGGCUCAUCUAGUCAAGCAUCAUGCUAUUGCUGUGGUCAGCCAGAUGCAUAUGUGAAGUCUUCAAGUAGCACCUGAGCACAGCAGCACUCCUCCUGACUCUUUGGUUUCCAGUAACUGGUAUUCUCAAGCUUACAGAACACCACUGAGAAAUGUUCUCUUUCUCAAAGCCACCCUCAACUUCUGAUGAAGAAGACACUCAGAUGAGGGGCUCCAUUGCCAAGGGUAUCAUCAUAUGGGAGGAGACAUUCCCUUGGGUACUGAGGUGCCAAGAAAUGUGGUAUCCCAUCCUUCUUCAAACAGCUCAGGAUGGCAAAGAUGGAGGGUACUGUUCUUGUUUUAUCCAUGCAGCAAUCCUCUCUGAGGUAGAUUCUGUUAACUCAGUGAGUUUUAUGGCUUAGCAGCCCUUCAAGUUGAAGACUCGUCUCUUUAAAAUAGGACAUGAGGGCAUCCCUGCGCAAUCUCUUAAAGUUUCUUAAAAUUCUCUUAAAUGAUGGGUCUUGUCAUAUCAGAUGGUUAACUUUGUCUUAAUUGACUGCAGAAUUUGUGGGGAAUGGUGAUGGCAGAGGCUGCCUGUCAUAGGAACUUCAAGCCCAGCUGUUAGCUUUCAUGGCAGAAUUUGUCCCAGGCUCCAGACAAGCUCUGAAUUAGAAUUUAAAUUCAUCUGAAGGAAAAGACUCUUAAUUCCCACCCCCCUAAAGUACUGGUUUCUUGCUUGGGAUCAAGAAGGCAUUUGGACAUGCUGAAUUGUGUGUCCACUUGAAUACAUUUUCCAUAUGGGUGUUUUCCCCUCCCACCAAUAAACUGUGUAAGAUACUAUGUUAGAAGCUUGAAAUCCCAUAACAAAUAUUUAUCUUGGACAAGGUCUGUUUACUGAAAUGGUCAUUCUGGAAGAAUGACUCUUGAACUGAUGCCGUACAGAGUAGGUCUAUCCUUUAGUGAGGAUAGAAUCACCAGCCUGGGACAUCAGGCCUUCAGAAACCAGGACUAAUGGGCUAAAUUAGCCACUUGCUAGCCCUCUCUCCUUCACUUCCUUCCACUAAAUACUGUUACCUCGCCAUACUGUCCAACUUUUUCUGACACAAAACUGGGAAGUGCAGUUUCCGGGAUGUGCUCAUAGCAAGUUACGUGACCCAUGCUUCACUUUCACCACAAAGGAAACACUUUUUGGGGGCAAAAGCACAUGAGACCACAGCACCCAAAAUGGCCGCCAAGAUCUUGUGUGAAAAAAUGAGAUGCCCUGUUUUUUCCCAGGGCUCUUGGAAGGUAUUCCUCACUUCAUGCCCCUCUACUAUAACACAUUUGAAACCCAUCAUCUGCAUGUUAGGAGUCCUUUUGGAACACCAUGUGACACAGUCCAUAAAGAGGCAGGCCCUGCUAAACUCUGUGCACUGUGGUCUUCAAGUUAUAAAGUAUUCGCUUUAAGGCACAGAACCAGAAGCACAUGCAGUUUUCUUACCCUCCCACAAGAAAUGCUAGUGUAAAGUCACUGCAAAACAGAAACACCCGUAGCAUUUAUUUUUCAUGAAAACAUGUGCGAAUCGUCUUGCACCUCUCUUAAAAGUAUAUUUUUGCAAUCCUCACCAUUAUAUCACCAGAUAUUGCUGGCCUACACCACAAACAGCAGAUGAUGGAAGUUGUAGUCCAACGGCACCUGGAGGACAGCAAACAAGUAUCUAUUUAUGGACCUCUUCCUCCAAUUCUUGACCCUAAUGUUCUAAAUUCUUCUUCCACAGCUUCCAGUUAUGGGAGGAGCCUUCAUGGAUUCGCCCAACGAGGACUUUAGUACGGAAUACUCCUUGUUUAAUUCCUCCGCCAAUGUCCACGCAGCUGCUUCGAUGCCGAACCAGCCUGAAGACGCCUCCCGUUCUUCAAACGACGCCAUUUUGUUAUGGAUUGCAAUUAUAGCCACAAUUGGAAACAUAGUUGUUGUCGGAGUUGUGUAUGCCUUCACGUUCUGAGAAGAAAGGACAACAGCUCGGGGAGGUGGACAGUUGCUGUUUCAUCAGCGCAGAGUGUGUUUAUGUAUGUAGAUAUAUAUAUGCGCACAUGCCUAUAUACAAAUGUAAAUCUUUUUAAAUAUUUGUAGGUAGACCCUUGUUAGCUAAGAACAAGCUUAGCCAAUAGGUGACCAAAAGAUAAAUGGGGGGGGAGCCACCCUUGAAGUCCUUUGUAAGUGAUGUGGGGAGGAAGCAUCUCAUUAACAGCAUAAUCAAUUAAAUGUAAAGUUUAACAUGAAAAGCCAGUGAAUUUAUACUCUGUCAGAUCAUUGGUCCAUCUAGCUCGCUAUUGUCUUACUGACUCAGCAGAUCUCCAGGAUUUCAGACAGAGGGACUUUUCCCCGUCUCCUGUCUGGAGAUGCCAGGGAUUGAUCCUGAGACCUGAAUGCAAAGCAGAGGCUUCAUGACUGAGCUAUGGCCUUUCCCCAUAAUGCAAACUGCAACGCACACAAAAGAAAAGGCAGGUUUGCUCACCAAGGGCUCUGAUGCUUGCUGGCUAGUGAAUUUGUUGCUUAUCUCAUUUCUCUAUGGUUUUAAGUCUCUAAUUACUCCUGAAUUGGAGCUUUGUACAUGAAUACCUGCCUCCUCUGGUUCUGCAGCAAUAUCUUUCGUUGCCCUCCGUAGGCACUGGACAAGUAGACAUGCAGAACUGGUUUGAAUUUUUUUAUUUUAAAAUGGCAGGAAGGUUCUGGCAAGGCAGCAUGUGGAGAGUACUCCUUUUUUGUUGUCCAUUACAAAGGCACAUUGACAUAUUUCAAUUGGUUUUGUAGAUAUGGUUACUUUCCUAGCAGUUUGUCCUGUCGGUGAAAGAAAACGAUUCAGGUGUCUAGAAAGUUGUACAAUCCUGUUGCAUAAAUCUGAAAACCCUGGGUCUGGAAGGAUAACAUGGUGGGUGUUAAGGAUCUGAUAAUGAAAUAGAGGCUUGCAACAAUAUUGACAGAGCCUUGUAUUGAUCUUGGUUACGUGGGGAAACAUAAUGGUGACAGCCCCAAACCCACUCUCUCAUGCACAGAGAGAGAUUCUGAUUUCUUCUAACCCAGCUGCAUUGACCAAAGUCUGUGAUGGUCUAGAACAGAAUGAGAUGUUAUUGUGUGUCUGUGGCUCAGAAACCAAUGCUACUCUUUCACUAGGUCCAUAGAGAUAUUUGUAUAAAAACUCAUGUCAAAGGGAAUUAGGAGAAGGCCUUUUUUUCUUUUUUCUUUUUGCUGUUGUUCUAAACCAGGGAUAGAGAACCUAUUCUUGUGGCUCCAGUUUCCAGCAGACCCAGCCAGCAUGGGCAAUAGACAGGGAUGAUGGGAGUUGUAGUCCAGCACCAUAUGGAGGGCUCCAGUUGUCCACUCACUGCUCUACACUCACUGCCGUGGUUGCCACCUGCUACUUCUCCUCUGAGUCAUCAUUGCUACCACCUGCUUGGUUGUCAGACACAGUCAAAGAGAAAUAAGACAGUGAUGGCUGGUUAUCAGCAGCACUACUGCAGCACAUAGAGGUCUAAAGGGAGUGGUGUAUUGGCAAACGGAGAUGUCACCAAUCUGUUACCAUUCCUCUUGUAGGGUCCCUGUCUCCAGUGUCCUAGAGUCACCCAGUCAGCGUGAAAGGGGAGCUUUUGUAGCCUCUGUAUGCUCUCAAGCUAAGCAUGUAGGGACACCAAGAACACAAGGUGCUUCAGUUUCAGGAGAAUUUUGUGAAAUGGGACUUCAUGGAGAGAAAAAACACACAACUCAAGUCACUCUGAAAGAAGAUACUGGAACACUCCAAAUCAUUUGCCUGUGGACAUGCAUAGAAAAUGGUAGUUCUACAAAAUUAAUAUUUUAGAAGGUUAUAUAAUUGUAGAAGGGAUAUAGCUAUGGGGGGGCAUGGCUAGGACUAGCAGGAAGGGACCUGCACUUCUAAAUUGGUCACUACACUCCUGGCCAAAGGUUCUCUGCCCCAGUUCCAAGCCAUUGUUUGUACUUCUUAUAUGUCUUCUACCUCUUACCAUUCCCAAAGCUCUCCCCACAUUUCAGACCUUAUGUGAUUAUUCCUCAAGAGCGUCUGUAUUAUUUUUCUGGCCAACUUUCUGGUUCUGCACACUUGAGUGGCUGUUGUUAUAAGCAGGUUAAUGAGCGUUCUCCCUGCAUUAGCAACAUGGUUUCAGUUAGCAUGUCAUAUAAAAAGAUAAUCAUGACAAAUGCUAUGAAAGUGCACUUUGUGUUUUUAUUUAUUAUCAGCACUUUGUGUUUAUUAUUUAUUUUUUGCAGUCGAAUAUUUCAGUGUUUCCAAAAGUGGAUGUAGAAAUCUUGGUGAACAUUUCCUGUAUUGCAUUUGGAAAUGCUGUGAAGAAUAAGCUAUUAAUAAGCAAAGGCCUGAUUCUCGAGAUCAUUGCACUGUGGUUGUUGCACGGAAGGCAGAGUCAGAGGCUGCAAUCCUGUGCACAUAUCUUCCUGGGAGAAAGCCCCAUGGUGAGAAAAAUGCUCAUAGGACUGGACCGGGAAACUUCUGUCAUAAAUAACUGCAGAGAUAAAGAUGGAGGAUGCAGUUAAGCCUCUAAAAAUGAUGGAAGAGGUAUCAGUAGAAGGAAAAUAUCAAUUCUGGCUAGUGAAUAUUUAUAGGCAUUGUCUAACACCCCCCUCCAUUUAUACAUCAGGCCUACCUUUCAAACAGUUGACUAGCAAUACAUCUUUUCUUGCCUUACCAUUAUUUUCCAUCAAGUCAUCAGUCAUCAUUUGUUCAAGCGGCACAUUUGCAAAGCUAAGCAGGGUCUGGUCUGGUUUCAAAUUGGAUGGGAGACCGAGUGUUGAGAUUCCUGCAUUGCAGGAAAUAGGACUAGAUGACCCUCAGGAUCCCUUCCAACUCUACAAUUCUGUGAGUCUACUGCUCAAACCCAAAUUUCCCCAGUUCACCCCUCCCCCAUCAGUUCCCAUUCCAAACCACUAAUGAAAACUAAAUGACUUUAGUUUCACGCUCCUGAGUCCUUUUUUUGUUUCGUUGCAAGCCUAUUGCUAGCUUCAUGAUUAGAUUGAUUAGAUAUUCAUAGGAGUUUCAGCAGCUCUGGCACAUUUUUGCAGCGAAAACAAACUUUGCACCGUCAAGAAGAGAGAAAACCAUUUCACCAUGGUUACACACAAUUGUACUUUUUUUAUUUUAUUUUAUUUUAUUUUUACCCAGUGGGCUCCCUGUGCUGCUUGAUGAAUUUGCUGAUAACAAUGCUUCGCUUGAGCUAAUUUCUGGGUUUUAAUCUAAGUGCAAUUAACAGCGUUUGUGUUUGUUUGCCGACGGACUAGACUAAAUUUUAAAAGAACAUUCAGCCUUGGAAAAAAAGAGCAGACUAAAACAAAUUGUGGAGAAAAGAACCAGGCUGUCUUUUUAAAGAGCGAGAGAUGUAAUUGCAUUGCAUGAGUGUGCUGUUUUCAGAAAACAAGGCAGAGAAGGAGUUCUCUCCACCCCAUAGUUUCCAUAUUCACGGUUUGCUAAUAUUAUUAGUAAUGGUCUCACAUAACUCGAUUACUGAUUUAAGACCAAACUGCUACUAAUAUUCUGUAGUAUUGCUUCCCACAAGAGGCAGUGAUGGCCAUCAACAUAAAUGGCUUUACAAUUAGACAAAUUGAGGAUAAGGCUAUCAAAGGGUUAUAUCUGACUAAAUUCUGCUCAGAGGAGAAUUGUUGAAAUUAAUGGACUUGGGAAGGGACAAAUGAAAUUGACCAUCCUAGUUCAGUGAUUUGUUGUGUGUUUUCCCCUCCUAUGAAUGCUUCCUCUGCGGUAUCCUAGAGAUAUUCAAGAUCUUAAUAACUCCUCCACAUUUUCCUGCAGGGGAGUUAUUAAUGUGUAAAGCAGUUCUGUUUUUCACAUCAUGUCCCAGAUAAUGUAAUUUUGCUCAGUGUCCUGCAGGUAAUCACAGAAGUGGAGGGCCUAUGAAAUGAAUUCAGUUUUUUAAAAAAGGAAACAAAAAAAUUAAUUUUGCAUUUAGAGUUCUCACAGUUUGAAUCUGCAUCUCUUUGCUUAGAUAAUGAAGAGCUACCCAUUUCUAGUACAGUGGUACCUUGGUUUUAGAACAGCUUAGUUUAUGAACAACUUGGAAAUACGGUGGUACCUCUGGAUGCGAACGGGAUCCGUUCCGGAGCCCCGUUCGCAUCCAGAAGCGAACACGACCUGUGUCUGUGCGUGCACAGGUUGCGAUUCGCCGCUUCUGCGCAUGCGCGUGAUGUCAUUUUGAUCGUCUGCGCAUGCGCGGCGAAACCUGGAAGUAAUGCACUCCGUUACUUCCGGGUCGCCGCAGCGUGUAACCCGAAAAUACUUAUCCUGAAGCUACUUCAACCUGAGGUAUGACUGUAGAACACUGCAAACUCACAAGUAGGUGUUUCGAUUUGUGAGCUUUGCCUUGGAAGCUGAACAUGUUCUGCUUCCUGUUGAGUGUAUUCCAUUUGUAAAUUGAGUCCCCCGCUGCUAAUCAGAGGAUUCCUGUUGAGUCAGUCAGAUGUUGAGUCCUGAGCACCCGCACAACACAGAGGUGAUAUUUGGAGCUUUUGUUUUUGCUAUUUUUUGUGUUUUUGUUUGUGUGACUUUUUCAUUUUUUUGACUGUGACUUGUUCUUCGUUUUAUGGGACUGACUUGUGACUGUUGUUUUUGGGACUUGUUUUUGGGACUGUGUGGAAUUCAGUUCCACUCCUGGUUUAUUGUGUGACUGCAGAAAUGGAUAAAAGCCCCCCAUCCAAACAAUGACUAUCAUCGGUGCACGUAAGGGGGGAAUAAUUUUAAUUUUUAUCAUCUGCAAUACUGUCUUACUUAUUUUAUAGUACAGUACAUUGAUUAUUGUUUCACUUUAUGGAUCAGUGGUCUCAUUAGAUAGUAAAAUUCAUGUUAAAUUGCUGUUUUAGGGGUUGUUUUUAAAAGUCUGGAACGGAUUAAUCCAUUUUGCAUUACUUUCUAUGGGAAAACAUGCCUUGGUUUUAGAACGCAGACUUUGGGAACAGAUUAAGUUUGGGAACCAAGGUACCACUGUAAUGCAGUGAUGAAUAGCCACAGCUGUACAGUCAUAUCUCGGGUUACAGAUGCUUCAGGUUGCGUUUUUUUGGGUUACAGACCACUGAAACCCAGAAGUACCGGAAUAGGUUACUUCCGGGUUUUGGUGGUCGCACAUGCGCAGAAGCGCUAAAUCGCGCUUUGCACAUGCGCAGAAGCGCCAAACCACAACCCAUGCAUGCACAGAUGUGCUGCUGCGGGUUGUGGACACUGCGGGUUGCGAAUGUGCAUCCCACACGGAUCACGUUCGUAACCAAAGCGCCCACUGUAUAAGGAACACAUGUACGAAACCAUGCACUGUAGUGGCUUCUUAUUAGUGAGAGCAUAAACUUUUAAUCUUAAGUGCAUGAACUUUCAAUACUAUGUGAGUGAGUGCGUAGCCAAACUGUGGAAUUUACCAGCACAGGUAGUCGUGAUGGCCAUCAAUUUGAGUGCCUUCAAAAGCAGGUUAGGCAAAUUCAUGGAGGUUAAGGCUGUGUUACCCUGUUGGAGGCAUUAUGCCUUUGGGUGCCAGUUCCUGGGAGUCACAAGUGAGGACUCUGCUGUUGCAUUCAGGCCCUGCUUACAGGCUUCCAAUAAACAUCUGGCCAGCCAUUGUGAGAACAGAAUUCUGGACUAGGUGGGCCAUUGUUCUUAGGAUGCAUUGGUGACUUAGAAUCCUACCCACCUGUUCCUUGUAUGUAAGGCUUUGCUGUGUUGAGAGAGGAGCAGACCAGGGCUUUUAGCCACCAUCACUAUUCCUUUCCUGCAGAAAAUGUGUGUUAGGGUGUGAGCACCUGCCCGCAAGUAGGGAGUCUGCAGAAUGGGGAUGCCUGCACACCCAGGUGCCCUGAUCUUGCUGAGAUCAGGGUUGGCUGGAGCAGAAAUGAUCAGGUGCUGAUCUGUGUAAGUCUCCUCCAUUUCUGGGUGGGGACAAUUCUCAGUGUGUUCCCAGAAGUGACCUCCGGUGGUGUGGAGAGACUCUCUACACAGUGGGGAUGGCAAGCUUGGGCUCUUUAGCUCUCCUGAAUCUGCUCAUGCAGAGAAGUUUCCAGUAUUAAUUUGCCCCUUUCAUAAAUCUGCAAAUGCUCUGUUAUUUUUAACCAACGUAAAAUACUGAGCUGUUUUUGAAGCCAUCAAUAUAGAAGUAGAGCCAGUUGUUUUGAUAGCCUCAAACAAAUCCGCUAUGGGAUAUAACUGGGUGUCUCUUUUGCACUCCAGUUACGCUCCUUCAGAGCUUGGAAGCCCCGUUAGGGCCAAAGCAUACAUAAGGUUAUGCACUCUUGGGAUUCUGGACACGAAUCAGAAUUCUGAUGUAAAUUUCUCAUGUGGAUUGUUCUAUGGUAAGUGGGUGGUUAAUCUAUUUAUUUUUCACUAUUUUGCAGAAUUUUUUUUGGUGAGUGUGUGUUCUUUCUCCCUAUUCUUUUGCAAUGUGCUGAAAGCUGUUAAGGUGCUUGUGAGGUUUUGCACAAAAGAAGCCAUCAGUUUUGCAAAGCAUGUUCUUUCCGCUUUUUUAAGUAGUCUAACGUGACAGGUGUUCUGCUACAAAGAAGAAUCCUGUCAUCUGUACUGUAGUGUGUGCUGCCAAUGAAGUCUCUGGCUGCAGCACCCUAAUACAGUCGUACCUUGGAUCUCAAACGCCUUGGCUCCCGAACAAAUCGGCUCCCAAACGAUCAAAACAUGGAAAUGAAUGUUCCAGUUUGUGAACAUUCUUUGGAACCCAAAUGUCCGACGGGGCUUCCACGGCUUCUGAUUGGCUGCAGGAGUUUCUGUAGCCAAUCCAAAGCUGUGCUUUGGUUUCUGAACAUUUUGGAAGUCGAACGGACUUCCAGAAUGGAUUCUGUUCAACUUCCAAGGUACAACUGUACUACUAAGGCAGGUGGAAGAGUUUCUGGAUGCCAUUAGCUGAGAUGCUUUGAGCCUAGAGAGUGGUCAACUGCCAUGGUGCCACCAUGUUGGUUGCUGAGAGAGCUGUCUAGUACUCUAGGAGGGCCUACUACUCACACCUGCCCUGGCCCCCUUUACCUUUAAACAUUUUUCACCCAGCAUUUGAUGCAGGCCAGGCAAUUUGAGUAUUGGAGCGGCCAUUUUUGAUUUCCAACAACGCCCCUUCUCAGUGCGUUGUGGGAAAUUCAAAUGGUCUCUCCAAGAUCCAGCUACCAGUUCAUCAUUUCAGCACCAUGCUGCUGCUGUCAAGUGAUACUUCAGGAGAAGCCACAUCAUCAGAGGUUCCCUUCACCUGAGCUAGAUCCUGCUGUCCAGAGUCUUGUGAUGGAAUCUUUAUAUUCUCUCUCUCUCUCUCUCUCUCUCUCUCUCUCUCUCUCUCUUUGAUACUCUUUUUCUUUAUACCGCUUGGUUUCUUUGGAAAGGUCAACAGUUGUACCAUUUUUAUCUUGUAUGAAUUGUUCUACAGAAACUUAUUCUUGUAAUAAAACAUGUUCUUGAUAAUGGGGGUUUCUGAACAGAGGGCAAAACAUUGAGAAUGCUUCUGUGUUUUACCCGGGGUUUGCAUAACAUCUUGUAUAAGUCUUGAACUGGUUUAAGCAAACCAAAUGUAUACUACUUUUUCACUACUACAGUGCUCCUUGUUGUUUAUGAGCCUCACUAUACAUGUAAUUAUUGAUAUUAUUAUUAUUAUUAUUAAUUGGGUAGGGUGAAAAUGCCUUUGUUAAAGUACAGUUAUAUUUGUGCUUUUCUAAAAACAACAACUAUUAAAGUUAUCAAUGUUUGC